AUUGAACGCUGGCGGCAUGCCUUACACAUGCAAGUCGAACGGCAGCACGGGUGCUUGCCCCUGGUGGCGAGUGGCGAACGGGUGAAUAAUACAUCGGAACAUGUCCUGUAGUGGGGGAUAGCCCGGCGAAAGCCGGAUUAAUACCGCAUACGAUCUACGGAUGAAAGCGGGGGACCUUCGGGCCUCGCGCUAUAGGGUUGGCCGAUGGCUGAUUAGCUAGUUGGUGGGGUAAAGGCCUACCAAGGCGACGAUCAGUAGCUGGUCUGAGAGGACGACCAGCCACACUGGGACUGAGACACGGCCCAGACUCCUACGGGAGGCAGCAGUGGGGAAUUUUGGACAAUGGGCGAAAGCCUGAUCCAGCAAUACCGCGUGUGUGAAGAAGGCCUUCGGGUUGUAAAGCACUUUUGUCCGGAAAGAAAUCCUUGGCCCUAAUACGGUCGGGGGAUGACGGUACCGGAAGAAUAAGCACCGGCUAACUACGUG
rnacentral:rRNA from 1 species